AUUGAACGCUGGCGGCAUGCUUUACACAUGCAAGUCGAACGGUAACAGGCCGCAAGGUGCUGACGAGUGGCGAACGGGUGAGUAAUGCAUCGGAACGUGCCCAGUCGUGGGGGAUAACGCAGCGAAAGCUGCGCUAAUACCGCAUACGAUCUAUGGAUGAAAGCGGGGGACCGUAAGGCCUCGCGCGAUUGGAGCGGCCGAUGUCAGAUUAGGUAGUUGGUGGGGUAACGGCUCACCAAGCCAACGAUCUGUAGCUGGGCUGAGAGGACGACCAGCCACACUGGGACUGAGACACGGCCCAGACUCCUACGGGAGGCAGAAGUGGGGAAUUUUGGACAAUGGGCGCAAGCCUGAUCCAGCAAUGCCGCGUGCAGGAAGAAGGCCUUCGGGUUGUAAACUGCUUUUGUACGGAACGAAACGGUCCUGGUUAAUACCUGGGGCUAAUGACGGUACCGUAAGAAUAAGCACCGGCUAACUACGUGCCAGCAGCCGCCGUAACAC
rnacentral:rRNA from 1 species